rnacentral:piRNA from 1 species
GACAGAUUCAGGAGGAGCCGCUGGA